GAUCGAAGCGCUCUAGGUGGAGUCCAUUAUUUGCCGUUCCCAUAAAUUAACGCACUUUUAGAUUGGCGUAAAAGAACGGAGCAAACAGAAUAAGUGACAUGCUCAAACUAUACACAAAACUUAUUAAGAUAGAUUUUGAUGAAUUUUAAUGAUAACUUACUUAUUUGUCUUCUAUGUAUAUAAAAAAAUGGGCUUAUACCACAUUUUAGCAUCGUUUGUUUACGUUUCCUUGUUGUGAUGAUUUUCGGUAUCAAAAGCGUGUAUUUUCCCGUAAAAUGCUUAAAUUAUAACGUCAUCAUUCUAUGACGUCGGGUACUUCAUUCAUUAAAAAACAUGACCUGGGAGUACGAUCGGAACAGCCAAUGCAAUAUAUUCAUAUUUUACCACGGGUGUGUACUCAAAGCGUUUGAAGGACGUCAUGUUAGAAUUCUAA
rnacentral:lncRNA from 1 species